rnacentral:rRNA from 1 species
AGGGUUUGAUCAUGGCUCAGAACGUACGCUGGCGGCACGCCUAACACAUGCAAGUCGAACGAAGUAGCAAUACUUAGUGGCAGACGGGUGAGUAACAUGUGGGUAUCUGCCCUUUGGCCUGGAAUAACACGAGGAAACUUGUGCUAAUACUGGAUAAGUCUUUACGGAGAAAGCUUUAUGCACCAUUGGAUGAGCCCGCACUUGAUUAGUUUGUUGGUGGGGUAAUGGCCUACCAAGACUUUGAUCAAUAGCUGAUUUGAGAGGAUGAUCAGCCACAUUGGGACUGAGACACGGCCCAAACUCCUACGGGAGGCAGCAGUGGGGAAUCUUGCACAAUGGGGGAAACCCUGAUGCAGCGAUGCCGCGUGAGUGAAGAAGGCCUUUGGGUUGUAAAACUCUUUCGUCGGGGAAGAAAAUGACUGUACCCGAAUAAGAAGGUCCGGCUAACUUCGUGCCAGCAGCCGCGGUAAUACGAAGGGACCUAGCGUAGUUCGGAAUUACUGGGCUUAAAGAGCUCGUAGGUGGUUAAAAAAGUUGAUGGUGAAAUCCCAGAGCUCAACCUUGGAACUGCCAUCAAAACUUUUUAGCUAGAGUGUGAUAGAGGUAAGUGGAAUUUCUAGUGUAGAGGUGAAAUUCGUAGAUAUUAGGAGGAACACCAGUGGCGAAGGCGACUCUCUGGGCCAAUACUGACGCUGAGGUUCGAAAGCAUGGGUAGCGAACAGGAUUAGAUACCCUGGUAGUCCAUGCAGUAAACGAUGAGUGCUAGAUGUUGGGAAUUUAAAUUUCCAGUAUCGCAGUUAACGCGUUAAGCACUCCGCCUGGGAAGUACGGCCGCAAGGCUAAAACUCAAAUGAAUUGACGGGGACCCGCACAAGCGGUGGAUCAUGUGGUUUAAUUCGAAGAUACGCGAAGAACCUUACCGGCCCUUGACAU